rnacentral:rRNA from 1 species
UUGAGAGUGGCGAACGGGUGAGUAAUACGUAGGAAUCUACCCUUAAGACGGGGACAACCCAGGGAAACUUGGGCUAAUACCGGAUGCGAGUGUAUGAGAGUACAUUUAAAAGGAUGGUGAAAGCUAUCGCUUAGGGAUGAGCCUGCGGUCUAUUAGCUAGUUGGUGGGGUAAGAGCUCACCGAGGCGAUGAUAGAUAGGCGGCCUUAACGGGUGGUCGCCCACACUGGGAUUGAGAUACGGCCCAGACUCCUACGGGAGGCAGCAGUCGAGAAUAGUCUACAAUGGCCGGAAGGCUGAUAGUGCGACGCCGCGUGAACGAGGGAGCCCUUCGGGGUGUAAAGUUCUUUUCUAUACGAGCAGUGCUAUAUAUAUUCAAAGUAUAUAUAGAGGGAUAGUAGUAUAGGAAUAAGCAACGGCUAACUCCGUGCUAGCAGCCGCGGUAACACGGGGGUUGCGAGCGUUGUCCGGAAUUACUAGGCGUAAAGGGCAGGUAGGCGGAUCUACGAGUUUUUUGUUAAAGGCUACGGCUUAACUGUAGUAAGGCAGGAGAUACUGUAGGUCUGGAAUGCGGUAGGGGAAGACAGAAUUCCUGGUGUAGCGGUGGAAUGCGCAGAGAUCAGGAGGAAUACCGAAGGCGAAGGCAGUCUUCUAGGCCGUAAUUGACGCUUAACUGCGAAGGUGUGGGGAUCAAACAGGAUUAGAUACCCUGGUAGUCCACACAGUAAACGAUAAUCACUAGAUGUCGGAUUCUAGAUGGAUUCGGUGUCGGAGCCAACGCGAUAAGUGAUUCGCCUGGGGAGUACGAUCGCAAGGUUGAAACUCAAAUGAAUUGACGG